ACGAACGCUGGCGGCGUGGAUAAGACAUGCAAGUCGAACGAGAGAAUUGCUAGCUUGCUAAUAAUUCUCUAGUGGCGCACGGGUGAGUAACACGUGAGUAACCUGCCCCCGAGAGCGGGAUAGCCCUGGGAAACUGGGAUUAAUACCGCAUAGUAUCGAAAGAUUAAAGCAGCAAUGCGCUUGGGGAUGGGCUCGCGGCCUAUUAGUUAGUUGGUGAGGUAACGGCUCACCAAGGCGAUGACGGGUAGCCGGUCUGAGAGGAUGUCCGGCCACACUGGAACUGAGACACGGUCCAGACACCUACGGGUGGCAGCAGUCGAGAAUCAUUCACAAUGGGGGAAACCCUGAUGGUGCGACGCCGCGUGGGGGAAUGAAGGUCUUCGGAUUGUAAACCCCUGUCAUGUGGGAGCAAAUUAAAAAGAUAGUACCACAAGAGGAAGAGACGGCUAACUCUGUGCCAGCAGCCGCGGUAAUACAGAGGUCUCAAGCGUUGUUCGGAAUCACUAGGCGUAAAGCGUGCGUAGGCUGUUUCGUAAGUCGUGUGUGAAAGGCGCGGGCUCAACCCGCGGACGGCACAUGAUACUGCGAGACUAGAGUAAUGGAGGGGGAACCGGAAUUCUCGGUGUAGCAGUGAAAUGCGUAGAUAUCGAGAGGAACACUCGUGGCGAAGGCGGGUUCCUGGACAUUAACUGACGCUGAGGCACGAAGGCCAGGGGAGCGAAAGGGAUUAGAUACCCCUGUAGUCCUGGCAGUAAACGGUGCACGCUUGGUGUGCGGGGAAUCGACCCCCUGCGUGCCGGAGCUAACGCGUUAAGCGUGCCGCCUGGGGAGUACGGUCGCAAGAUUAAAACUCAAAGAAAUUGACGGGGACCCGCACAAGCGGUGGAGUAUGUGGCUUAAUUCGAUGCAACGCGAAGAACCUUACCUGGGCUUGACAUGUAAUGAACAACAUGUGAAAGCAUGCGACUCUUCGGAGGCGUUACACAGGUGCUGCAUGGCCGUCGUCAGCUCGUGUCGUGAGAUGUUUGGUUAAGUCCAGCAACGAGCGCAACCCCUGUUGCCAGUUACCAGCACGUGAAGGUGGGGACUCUGGCGAGACUGCCCAGAUCAACUGGGAGGAAGGUGGGGACGACGUCAGGUCAGUAUGGCCCUUAUGCCCAGGGCUGCACACGUACUACAAUGCCCAGUACAGAGGGGGCCGAAGCCGCGAGGCGGAGGAAAUCCUAAAAACUGGGCCCAGUUCGGACUGUAGGCUGCAACCCGCCUACACGAAGCCGGAAUCGCUAGUAAUGGCGCAUCAGCUACGGCGCCGUGAAUACGUUCCCGGGUCUUGUACACACCGCCCGUCACAUCAUGGAAGCCGGUCGCACCCGAAGUAUCUGAAGCCAACCGCAAGGAGGCAGGGUCCUAAGGUGAGACUGGUAACUGGGAUG
rnacentral:rRNA from 1 species